rnacentral:rRNA from 1 species
AUUGAACGCUGGCGGCAUGCUUUACACAUGCAAGUCGAACGGCAGCACGGGAGCAAUCCUGGUGGCGAGUGGCGAACGGGUGAGUAAUAUAUCGGAACGUGCCCAGUCGUGGGGGAUAACGUAGCGAAAGCUACGCUAAUACCGCAUACGAUCUAUGGAUGAAAGCGGGGGAUCGCAAGACCUCGCGCGAUUGGAGCGGCCGAUAUCAGAUUAGGUAGUUGGUGAGGUAAAGGCUCACCAAGCCGACGAUCUGUAGCUGGUCUGAGAGGACGACCAGCCACACUGGGUCUGAGACACGGCCCAGACUCCUACGGGAGGCAUCAGUGGGGAAUUUUGGACAAUGGGCGCAAGCCUGAUCCAGCAAUGCCGCGUGCAGGAUGAAGGCCUUCGGGUUGUAAACUGCUUUUGUACGGAACGAAACGGUGAGCUCUAAUACAGUUUGCUAAUGACGGUACCGUAAGAAUAAGCACCGGCUAACUACGUGCCAGCAGCCGCCGUAA